CAAAGAGCAGAGUGGUGCAGUUGAAAAUCUACUCAGAUUGAGAUUGAGAGAAGCAUGGAACAUCUGAUUUCUUUGUGCCAUCUUUGUCCAAAGAAGAUAUCUGGAUGGCCAACAGACACAUGAAAAGAUGCUCAUCGUCACUUAUCAUCAGGAAAAUGCAAAUCGAAACUACAAUGAUAUAUUACCUCGCACCUGUCAGAAUGGCUAAAAUCAACAACACAAGAAACAAGAGCUGCCACUGUAGUGACCAGCUUUGCAAGGACCUGGACUGACUUCACACAGAUGCAACAUGACAGCCCUGCGCCCUGGACCAAAGCCCCCCCCCCCCCCCCCCCCCGCCCGUCUCCUAUCCUGUGGGCUGCUCUGUUGACAUUGCUUUGGGACAUUAACUCUGAAAUCUCAUCACUGUCAUCAAUAAAAAAGCAUGGCAAUCUG